rnacentral:rRNA from 11 species
AUAAUCUGCCUAAAUACUCUAAAUGCAUCAGGUUCUAUCAGAUUUUGAAAGCUAAGCAGGGUCAGCUCUAGUUGGUACUUAGAUGAGAGAUCACCAACAAAAGUCAAGCUGCUGUAGGCUAUA